ACUCAGCAUCAAGCAAUGGUUUAGAUCUGUUACGGUGGUGAUUGGGGUUUAGAGACAGAGACGGGUUAAAUAUGCAACGACGACGAUGAACGAUCUGGUUCUUCACUCUCCGAUGACAGGAAACCUGUAAUGCCCACGAUUCUUGGGGAUGGCGCUGGAUGGCGGUGAAGCGGUGCGGAGGCAGUAGUUGUAAGGCUGUGGUGGCAGUGGU
rnacentral:lncRNA from 1 species